GAAAGUACGUGUAUGUUUGAUAAAUACAAUUGAAUGCUAAAAACAAGAGUAAAACAACAUAUGGAGCAUAUAUACUUUUUUUU